rnacentral:lncRNA from 1 species
UCACUUUUAGAAGUUGUGACACAACAUUACUGGUGACUAUUUGAUUCUGAUUAGGAUUCCAGUUCCGAGAUAUUUCACCUCUGCGGGACAAACCUCUUUGGAAUGACCCACGCAACAAAUCAGUUGCUUGGACUAAGUCUCUCCGGAGAUAUAGGGUAACCAUGAAUCACAGGCCUGUUGAAUCUGUGCUGAGCAGAAAAGCACCUUUUGCAGCUCGAACCUUAAGUGCUGGCUUGAGUGGUCAUAGGUAUAGAAAUGGUUGUGUUGAUGUGUUGCCACAAUAUAGUUCAAUGAAUGAUCCCCACUUGUUUGACUACUAUGCCAGGAAGUUUGGACUGCGGGGGACUACCAGGUGUCUUCCAGUUUCUGAUCAAAUGAAGAGACAUCACCAAAGUGCACCCCACUACAGGUACAAAAGUGCUAGUACCGGAUCCAGUUCUGCAGUGCACAGCAACGUGUUAUACAAAGUCACUGUGAAGACUGGAGAUAAGAGAGGGGCAGGAACUGAUGCCAGGGUAUUUCUUAAGAUGAAGGGCUCUAAAGGAAAACUUAGCAAGACACGUUUAUAUAAGAAAACUGGAUCUAAUGUAUCUCAACAAACAGCUGUGUUUAAAGUCUCCAAAGGGUCAAUUAAUACCUUUAAAAUUCAUGGUCCAGAAAUUGGAGAAAUCCAAAACAUCACCCUGGAGGUAACCAUUUUUUGUGACUUGAAAUUAGUGUAAUUUGCUAAGAGGGGGAAA